CUACGGGUCGCAGCAGUGGGGAAUAUUGCACAAUGGGCGAAAGCCUGAUGCAGCAACGCCGCGUGAGUGAUGAAGGUUUUCGGAUCGUAAAACUCUGUUCUAAGGGAAGAUAAUGACGGUACCUUAGGAGAAAGCCCCGGCUAACUACGUGCCAGCAGCCGCGGUAAUACGUAGGGGGCAAGCGUUACCGGAAUUACUGGGCGGAAAGGGUGCGUAGGUGGCCUGACAAGUCAGGGGUCAAAGGCAACGGCUCAACCGUUGUAAGCCCUUGAAACUGUCGGGCUUGAGUUCAGGAGAGAAAAGCGGAAUUCCAAGUGUAGCGGUGAAAUGCGUAGAUAUUUGGAGGAACACCAGUGGCGAAGGCGGCUUUCUGGACUGAUACUGACACUGAGGCACGAAAGCGUGGGGAGCAAACAGGAUUAGAUACCCGAGUAGUC
rnacentral:rRNA from 1 species